rnacentral:rRNA from 1 species
UGGAGAGUUUGAUCCUGGCUCAGGACGAACGCUGGCGGCGUGCUUAACACAUGCAAGUCGAGCGGUAAGGCCCUUCGGGGUACACGAGCGGCGAACGGGUGAGUAACACGUGGGUGAUCUGCCUUGCACUCUGGGAUAAGCCUGGGAAACUGGGUCUAAUACCGGAUAUGAGCCUGAACUGCAUGGUUCGGGUUGGAAAGAUUUAUCGGUGCGAGAUGGGCCCGCGGCCUAUCAGCUUGUUGGUGAGGUAACGGCUCACCAAGGCGACGACGGGUAGCCGGCCUGAGAGGGCGACCGGCCACACUGGGACUGAGACACGGCCCAGACUCCUACGGGAGGCAGCAGUGGGGAAUAUUGCACAAUGGGCGAAAGCCUGAUGCAGCGACGCCGCGUGAGGGAUGACGGCCUUCGGGUUGUAAACCUCUUUCGACAGGGACGAAGCGCAAGUGACGGUACCUGUAGAAGAAGCACCGGCUAACUACGUGCCAGCAGCCGCGGUAAUACGUAGGGUGCGAGCGUUGUCCGGAAUUACUGGGCGUAAAGAGCUUGUAGGCGGUCUGUCACGUCGGUCGUGAAAACUCACAGCUCAACUGUGGGCCUGCGGUCGAUACGGGCAGACUAGAGUACUUCAGGGGAGACUGGAAUUCCUGGUGUAGCGGUGAAAUGCGCAGAUAUCAGGAGGAACACCGGUGGCGAAGGCGGGUCUCUGGGAAGUAACUGACGCUGAGAAGCGAAAGCGUGGGUAGCGAACAGGAUUAGAUACCCUGGUAGUCCACGCCGUAAACGGUGGGUACUAGGUGUGGGUUUCCUUCCACGGGAUCCGUGCCGUAGCUAACGCAUUAAGUACCCCGCCUGGGGAGUACGGCCGCAAGGCUAAAACUCAAAGGAAUUGACGGGGGCCCGCACAAGCGGCGGAGCAUGUGGAUUAAUUCGAUGCAACGCGAAGAACCUUACCUGGGUUUGACAUACACCGGAAAGCCGUAGAGAUACGG